rnacentral:lncRNA from 12 species
AUGUUUUUUUUUUUUUUUUUUUUUUUUUUUUUUUUUUUUUUUUUUUUUUUUUUUUUUUUUUUUUUUUUUUUUUUUUUUUUUUUUUUUUUUUUUUUUUUUUUUUUUUUUUUUUUUUUUUUUUUUUUUUUUUUUUUUUUUUUUUUUUUUUUUUUUUUUUUUUUUUUUUUUUUUUUUUUUUUUUUUUUUUUUUUUUUUUUUUUUUUUUUUUUUUUUUUUUUUUUUUUUUUUUUUUUUUUUUUUUUUUUUUUUUUUUUUUUUUUUUUUUUUUUUUUUUUUUUUUUUUUUUUUUUUUUUUUUUUUUUUUUUUUUUUUUUUUUUUUUUUUUUUUUUUUUUUUUUUUUUUUUUUUUUUUUUUUUUUUUUUUUUUUUUUUUUUUUUUUUUUUUUUUUUUUUUUUUUUUUUUUUUUUUUUUUUUUUUUUUUUUUUUUUUUUUUUUUUUUUUUUUUUUUUUUUUUUUUUUUUUUUUUUUUUUUUUUUUUUUUUUUUUUUUUUUUUUUUUUUUUUUUUUUUUUUUUUUUUUUUUUUUUUUUUUUUUUUUUUUUUUUUUUUUUUUUUUUUUUUUUUUUUUUUUUUUUUUUUUUUUUUUUUUUUUUUUUUUUUUUUUUUUUUUUUUUUUUUUUUUUUUUUUUUUUUUUUUUUUUUUUUUUUUUUUUUUUUUUUUUUUUUUUUUUUUUUUUUUUUUUUUUUUUUUUUUUUUUUUUUUUUUUUUUAAAAAAAAAAAAAAAAAAAAAAAAAAAAAAAAAAAAAAAAAAAAAAAAAAAAAAAAAAAAAAAAAAAAAAAAAAAAAAAAAAAAAAAAAAAAAAAAAAAAAAAAAAAAAAAAAAAAAAAAAAAAAAAAAAAAAAAAAAAAAAAAAAAAAAAAAAAAAAAAAAAAAAAAAAAAAAAAAAAAAAAAAAAAAAAAAAAAAAAAAAAAAAAAAAAAAAAAAAAAAAAAAAAAAAAAAAAAAAAAAAAAAAAAAAAAAAAAAAAAAAAAAAAAAAAAAAAAAAAAAAAAAAAAAAAAAAAAAAAAAAAAAAAAAAAAAAAAAAAAAAAAAAAAAAAAAAAAAAAAAAAAAAAAAAAAAAAAAAAAAAAAAAAAAAAAAAAAAAAAAAAAAAAAAAAAAAAAAAAAAAAAAAAAAAAAAAAAAAAAAAAAAAAAAAAAAAAAAAAAAAAAAAAAAAAAAAAAAAAAAAAAAAAAAAAAAAAAAAAAAAAAAAAAAAAAAAAAAAAAAAAAAAAAAAAAAAAAAAAAAAAAAAAAAAAAAAAAAAAAAAAAAAAAAAAAAAAAAAAAAAAAAAAAAAAAAAAAAAAAAAAAAAAAAAAAAAAAAAAAAAAAAAAAAAAAAAAAAAAAAAAAAAAAAAAAAAAAAAAAAAAAAAAAAAAAAAAAAAAAAAAAAAAAAAAAAAAAAAAAAAAAAAAAAAAAAAAAAAAAAAAAAAAAAAAAACACUAUAA